rnacentral:lncRNA from 1 species
AAAUAAUUACUAGGAAAAUGAGGUUGCAUUUUGGCAUGUGGCAAUGAUAUGGACAGGAAAAGGUGUCCAAGGAGUUUGAGGUAAAUUGGGAAAAGGAAAAUAGCACUUGCUUCACAAUGUGCCAUUUAGGGCAGAAUAGGAAAUGAAUUAUUUGAGCAAGAUGAUAAACAUGACAAAUGAAAUAUUUUGCCAUAUUUGAGAAAGAUAUAACCCAAACAAUUUAAGAGAAUUAUUUGGGAAUUUUAGGAGUGAUGGAAAUAAAGGUUGCUUCACAACCUAGGGCAGACAGGGUUAUUCCUUUAAUAGAAAAAGGAAUAUUCCUGAGAAAAAGAAAUUAGGGUUUGGUCAAGCAGUGGAGUGAGAUGAUCUUGGCAAGGUUUUGAGAAUGUUGAGCCACCUGGGAGGGGAAAUGAGGAUGAUUUCCCAGGUGACAAGGCCACAGAACCACUCGAAAAAGAAAAAACAGAGCAAAAACCAAUAAAUCAAAAAGAAAAAGAAAAGGGCCAAAAUCCAGGCUGUUACAACUCUUACCCCCUUAAAGAAAUCUCGUCCUCGAGAUUUAGUUGCUCUGGGAACAAGUAUGACUUGAGGAUACCGUUUCCAACUCUGGUAUCCAUUUCCCUUUAUCUAUUGUUCUCCCGAGAAAUUUUAUAAAAUUUUCUUACCUUGCUCUGGGGUGGUUUGCUUUACCUUUCCCAAAUCCUGAUAGGUUUUUGCUCAUAUACCAAUUCCCUUUUACUGAUGUUGAUUUUCUUAUAUCUGCGGUGAUAUCCAAUGGAUCUGAUCAUAAAUUUCCUUUUUCAUGAAAACUUUUUACUUCUGAUACCAGGUUACUCAAACAAAUGCAUGUAUUCUUGGUUCCAUAAAUGUUGAGAAUCAUGGCCAUUUUCUGACAGGAUCUGACAGCUUGCAAGUGGUACUGAUUUAUCUAGAUUUAUCCCUUUGACUCGAGCAUGGGGUCUGUACCCAAGAUUCGACUGCCUUCUGUCGUGAGUGAUAUAACGGGGUAUGGACUUAUAGUUGUGUCAUACCUCAAAUAUUAACACCUUGGGGCUGUCCUGACAGGGGGCUGCCAGGAAAAUGCUUUUCCUGACAGACUGACAGUGUACUUGAUUCCAUCGGUGAGUAUACCGGGUUCGAGCUGAUUGUUUGGCUUUUGACUUUCUCAUUUUGUCGGUAUACCCAUUUGGAUUUUUCACACUAACCAUUCCAAGCGGGUUGACGGUGAUAUGAAAUCCCUUUGCUGUCAGGCUCAUCCUUUAACGGUCAUGAUUUUCUUUGUCAGGAUACCUUACUGAAAUAACUUGGCCACACAUGUCCUUGAUUCUUCGUAUGACCAUGACCGUGGUUACUCCAAUAUUGUUCGCAUUAUUCCUUUUGCUUAUUUUCUGACCUGGGUCCGCACACAUAUGACAUAUGAUCGGGGCUUGUAGCUGUACAGAGCUCUUUGUUGAGGACAACCAUACAAGAGGGUGACAAGAGUUCAUAAUAUCACCUUGUCACGUCCGGGAAUAAUCUUCUUGGUGACCAUUGUAAAAAUUGUGGAUUCUGCGUCGUCAUCUCCAGAUCUUGUCGAUCCUCGUAUUACAUAAGAUGUGUAUCUCUGCUUAUCUUCAUUUGCAUGGAUUAUGAGGUUGUUGGGUCCGUACCUUUCUUAGGUAUAUCUCUGACAAAAUUAUUGCAAAUCUGAUCCUUGAGAUGUACUGCCAUAUACUGCCAACUCGUCAUAUAAUCUCUGAGGACGGUGCAUAGUGUGGUACUGACGCGGACUGGGUGGCUUACGAGGGAAGCCAUCCGAGUAGCUUGCUGAGGAAGGCUCUUAGAUUCUACUCGAGGCUUUUGUCUGGGUAGCGUGCAGAAGAAAUCUCGAUAGCUUACACACGAAGCUUGGUUGGAUUAUUGUGCUGGAGAAGCUUGAGUUCCGUGCAUGAGAAGCUUCUCCUCGGGUUUGCUUGUUGAGAAUAAUUCAUUUCCGUCUGUCAGAAGCUUUUACCGAGGUAUCUUGUUGAGAAAGACCGGGUACCGUGGGCCGGAAAUUGUUCACAUAUCAUGCCGAGGAAAAAUUGAGGAGCCUUGCCUCAUAAAUUUCUUCUGAUAGCGUGUGGAAUAAUGUUGGUUUUCUUAUAUCCAAAACUUCAUACUGAUAUGCAGACUGAAAUCCAUGCACACGUCCAUAAUAUUUUGCGGCUGAUUAUUUGCAUGAGAAAAUAUGUUUGACUGUCUUCCUUGAGCAUAUCACAUCCUGACUUUCUCUUGGAGUAUAACAUAUUUCAAGUACCAUUUAUUGCUGAGCCAAAACUUUGCCUAUGAUCCAUACCUUUUGACUGAAAAAUAUACCGUUGGUCUUGCAUCUGACUUGUCUUUCUGCUGGCUGGAUCAUUACUGCUGUAGAAUUGAUGAGGAUAAUCAAUCCAAGACACAAUUGGCAUUCUGAGCAGAUAUUCCUUAUAUCAUGCGGUUGACUGAGAAGGCCAUAAUGUUUAGCUGAGCUUCUUCCAAAUAUUUGAAAUACUUAUUACUUCUUCGAGUCCGGUGUCAGCUGAUGAGCAAAUCUUUAUAGGGGAAAAUUAAUAAUGUAACACCGGGGCCCAAAAAAGAAAGAAGCAAAAGAAAACUCAACUAAACAAAAACACACAACAACAAUCAAUUCACACACAAUCAAUAUCACAUAUUACUGCUAGUCACACAAUAUGCAUGCCUACUUAAGCACACAAAUCUCGCCGGAUCUCCGGCUCUACGAUCUAGCAUGCUGUGACGUUGUGCACGAGGACGAAUAAAUGUGUGGAAGAAUUGGUGUAAACGGCGCUACACCAAGUGCUAGCUUAGCCAGGUAGCAGCCUGGACUAGCUCGGAGGUGAGGACGCACUCGGUAAUCAUGUAGUGGGACACGAAGGUCGCAACCACAUUAUUAUCAAGCGGGCGGAAAAAUAUCCGUACUCGUCCAAGAAAUAGGAUAGCAGGGAAAAACUGAGGCUGCUGACAUUGCCCUUUCUUGGUAACUACGAUCAUUAAGGGUUGCCAACAUGACAAGAAAAAGGAUGAUCCGGGGUAGAAGCAUGUCUACCACCAAAACAAAAGGUGGGGCUGAAGUAAAUAAUUCGGCGCGAUACCUGAGCACCAUUUUUGCAAACAGUGUCGGGAUCACUUGGCAUCACUCUAGUGGGACAGAGAUGCCACCAAACACCGAAGAACGAGCAAGAAAAGAAAACUGGAGAAAUGCAAUGGUUGAGCUGUAGUGGAUCUGAACCGAUGCCAUCUACACUCACCAGAUUAAACCGUUAGUAACAAAAUAAGGCUAUAUGCAUGCUAUGCAGCAACCAAAUGCAAUAAACACGUCAGACUCUAUACUACUGAUUUCUACUGCUCGCACUGACUAGGGCGUCCUACAGCCAGACCUGCUCUGAUACCAAGCCUGUGGCACCCCGGCUCAGAGAAACCGGAACGCCCUGUAUUCCAGCCCAGAGAUCGAGGAAAAGUCUCUGGAAUACGGCACUGCUUGACAUAGAACAAAUCAGCUCUUAUUACAAGAAUAAUAAUUACACGGGUCUGAUGUUACAAAGAAGCACAUCAGCAUGGCGACACUACGCCUGCGAUGUUAUACUUGCUCUAUGCUAGCAGCAGAACAACUCGUAGCAGUGGAACAACGACGAAGGUGGUGAAAUCCACUCCGCAGGGACUCUGGCUGGGACACGAUCUAGCUCGCACGGCAACCACAAACAAGCAAUCAUGGCAUCACCUGCAAUCUGGCAUGACACGCCAGGUCAGUACAUUGAAUGUACUUGCAACCUCACAACAACCAUAAACAUCAAGGCAAAACAAUAACAUAGCAUUUAACAGGUUAAUUAAAUUAACAACUAUUAUGAUGAAACAACUACUAAGCCUGGGAUGAAACUAAUACAAUGCUAAUAAAUCACCAUCUCAGAUCUCCAUAACCAUAUCUCUCUUGGCUAACCGGCCAAGCAGUAUACCAUCUCGAUCACCUCGUGAUCAAAUCCAAACAGUGAUCUUUCCAGCGAUCACAACCACGACCAACAUUUGGUCUCAAACGUCAUCAUCAACAUCCUGUCAAUCUGUACUGCUCAACAUAUCAACAUAUAAAUCACAUAUAAGUCAUUCCGUCAUGUGAGUGUUGAUCAAACGGUGGGACCUAGUACGGACGCGACUAUCGAUAGAUUAAAUACACUCUGCAGAGGUAGCACACUGUACCCACACCACAGAACCCAUGGCCUCGCACUCCCAUUCGGGUGGACCAACGACGUUCCGACAAAACCGAUCUACUGCCAUGACACUCUCCCGACCACUCCGACCAACACCCCUUCUGGGUUUAGUCCUGGGUGGCCCCGUGUCUACCAAAGACACAACGACCACCGUCGUGGUCAAAACAUAAACGUCCCAAACGGGGACAAAAAGGCGCCUAAAAACAACUAGGGGCACACAAGGUUAUGUCCGCCUACCUGAUCAGGGUAGCGCGCGCCCAUAACCUUCCCUCGUUGGAGGCACCGGCGAGAGGCACGGCAAUAGACCGCAUUAGGGCAUCCCCAUAAGGAAAAUGUGGUUGCACUGGAAAAAGCCCAGUUCGGUGGCACCUUACCAACUUAAUGAUGGAAUUUAUCCCCAAAAUAUAACUGUGAUAACUGGUACUCCGAUAUCAACUAUCAAACUAGAAUCCAAAUCAUAGCAAUAUCCAACAAAUAACCCAAACAUAAUAUCAUCAUCUCAAAACACUCCAAGGGUAGCACAACACUACUGUCAUGAUGAAUCCGAAAACAAUAAUCCUACUACUCCAAUAACAAGAAUAAGGUUAUUCGGCUAAGAUCCACAUGUAACAUCAUCCCCAAAAAUAAUACUCCAAGCAACAGAACAUCAACUAGCAUCAUGAAAAUAAUCAUACUAACCACUAAUAAUCCAAAGGCAGCAUGAUAUCCAAAGUAAUAUUCCAAAAUAUAAUAACAGAUACCAUCAUGAAAAUAAUCAUAAUAUCCACUAAGAAUCAAAAGGCACAUGUCAUCCGCAUACUCAUCAAAAAUAUAAUCCUAGAACUCCAAGCAAUAUCAUGGCAAUAGCAAGAUCAAAACAAUACUCUGAGAAUGCCAUGAACAAUUCACAAGUAGCUAGAGUAAUAUUUUAAACAAGUUUAAAUAAGGAAGCCAUGUCACUGCAUUGCAAUCAUGCAAAUGGAGGGUGUGGCUUGCCUGGGGUGGAAGAAAUCACCGGGAGAAAAUGCGAGAAACUCACGGAAAGGAUCGCCGGAAAACGGAUCUCUCUCGGAGGGGUCUGAUUAACGGCAAGGGAAAAAAUAUUCAUUUUUAGAAUGUUAACACAUGGUGAAAAUGAUACCAACAGAAUGGGCUUGACAAAACAAACAGGUGGGCUUUGGAAUCACCUCAUUUGGAGUUGGGAGUGAAAAGAUAUGAUAGUUUUUCCGCCAGGGACCCAUUUGUAAUAAAAUCAUCACAAACAGGCCCUCAGCCGGAAAAACAGAACGUGCACUAGGCAGAAAUACGCCUUCUCCUCUGGAAAACGUAUUCCACGCUGAAACAGAAAGGAAAUACGCUUUCAGAUCAGCGAAAGCGCAUUCUUGUCUAAAGAAAGACGAAACUACGCUUUCGGGAAGUGAAGACGUAAUCUGUGGAUUACGCCUCCACUUAUCCACGUCAGCGUACCUGGGUCAACGGGGCUGAGGCUGCCACACGGGGCCCGUGAGGAGAAGAGGACCCGCCUGGCCUCUGUCUUCUUCCUCGUCCUGCUCCCGCACGGGACAGAGGAGGCAGGGGAGGGCGCGUCACCGGCAGCGGGCCAGCCGGCUCCGGCCGUCUCCGGCGAGGGCGACGCCACCAGAGGGCUCAGGAGUCCACACCGCCUCCAUUCAGAGAGGAAGCGGGCGCCGGGGAGAGCUAGGGUGGCUGCAACCCGCGGCAACAGAGGGACGGGGAGGCGGAGACCGAACGAGGUAGCGGCGGCCUGAGGCACUCCGGCGAGAAGCAGAGGGGGCGGGGAGGGUCGCCGGAGUGAGGGGCUUCUAGUGGUGGUGGAUAUGAGGAGAGGGAGGGCUCGGCUCGCUCCAAUCAAGGAGGAGACCCGAAGCGGCCAUGGCGACAAUGGUGGUCGUGGAGGGCUACUCGAGCUCGGGGAAGUGGUCAGGGAGUCAUGGGGGAGUGGGUAUAGGUCGCUGGUGAGGAGAAACGCACCCGUGACGGGCUUAUAUAGCCGCAGGGCGAGGAGGCCGAGCUGGCGUCGCCGCGGACGCGUGUCCGGCGCCGCGGACGCGUACCCGCGCGCAUGAACUUGGAGGCAGGCGACGAGGGAGGCACAGUGGAAUCUCUCACGGGGCAGAGGCGGCCAAGGGAGCACGGGGAGGAUGACGACGACGACGAGCAGAGCCAAAGGGAGCACUGUGCUCUCGUGGGCGCUCGGUGGCGAGCAUCGGUGAGCGUCGGUGAGGGGUUUUACUGAGAGGGAGAGAGGUCCAGGAGGACGGCGACGACGCGGUAAAACUCUUGGACAUGCUCACGCGCGUGAAGCCGACGAGAGGAGGAGCUGCCGACGCACAAACGGCCACUGGACGCGGCCAUUGCACACAGAGCGCAUGCACUGUGGUGCCAUUAACGCGGUCACCGCGUGCACUGGCAGGUAGCGAGGGAGAGGGGCUUGCCCAUGUUGUCUAGUGGGUAGUUCAUCCAGGGUAGGUCUCAACUACGGUGGUAGUUCGGUGAAAACUGCUAUGGUUAAGUGGUAAUCACCCCCUGAAGUUUACUGCAGUAAACUUGGGUGAAUACUGGUGAUCAACAGGGAUUUUACUGGUGCCAAAGAGUUUGUCUGGGGUGAUUAACUAAGGAAGGACUAUGAUCUUGGAGGUUUUGAGGCAUAAUGGAGCACAAACUAACAUAGUUGCUUUGUAACUCACAUUAUGUGUCCAGAAUCAAGAUUUGGAUGAUGCACUCACAUGGAGUAACCACUUGAGGUAAAACUUGGUAGGGCUUAGUGAUUUGGCCAGAUAAAGGUGCUGUAAAAAUUUCAUACCAAUUGGUUUUACCAAAAUGGUACUUCCUUCACAGCUAUUCCCUCUGUCCAGAAUCUUGCAAAAAUUCUAGAGAAAUAAGGGCUUGAUGAACUAUACCCAAAAUGGGUGGAGGUAGGUUAUAUGGAUAAUAGAAGGCCUAGAAAAAUUGGCAGUCAUAAUGGAGCAAGAUAAAAUAUACUUGCUUCACAAACUGAAAUUUUGGGCAGAAUCAAAGAAUUGAAGAUGAGCUCACAUGGAGGCAUGACAUGAGCUCUACUUUGGUGGAGGGCUAUUAUAUGAUGAUAUGAGGGAUCAUGCAAAAUGGCAACUCAUUUGGAUAUGCCUAGCUUGCACCUCCUUCACAAAGCUUCUUUCUGGAUAGAAACUUUGGAAAAUCAUAAUUAAAUAAUUACUAGGCAAAUGAGGUUGCAUUUUGGCAUGUGGCAAUGAUAUGGACAGGAAAAGGUGUCCAAGGAGUUUGAGGUAAAUUGGGAAAAGGAAAAUAGCACUUGCUUCAUAAUGUGCCAUUUAGGGCAGAAUAGGAAAUGAAUUAUUUGAGCAAGAUGAUAAACAUGACAAAUGAAAUAUUUUGCCAUAUGUGAGAAAGAUAUGACCCAAACAAUUUAUGAGAAUUAUUUGGGAAUAUUAGGAGUGAUGGAAAUAAAGGUUGCUUCACACCCUAGGGCAGACAGGGUUAUUCCUUUAAUAGAAAAAGGAAUAUUCCUGAGAAAAAUAAAUUAGGGUUUGGUCAAGCAGUGGAGUGACAUGAUCUUGGCAAGGUUUUGAGAAUGAUGAGCCACCUGGGAGGGGAAAUGAGGAUGAUUUCCCAGGUGACAAGGCCACAGAACCAGUCCAAAAAGAAAAAAACAGAGCAAAA